UACGUAGGUGGCAAGCGUUGUCCGGAUUUACUGGGUGUAAAGGGGGCGCAGGCGGGAAAGCAAGUCAGCGGUGAAAUCUCUGGGCUUAACCCGGAAACUGCCGUUGAAACUGUUUUUCUUGAGUGAAGUAGAGGCAAGCGGAAUUCCGAGUGUAGCGGUGAAAUGCGUAGAUAUUCGGAGGAACACCAGUGGCGAAGGCGGCUUGCUGGGCUUUAACUGACGCUGAGGCCCGAAAGUGUGGGUAG
rnacentral:rRNA from 1 species